GACGAACGCUGGCGGCGUGCUUAACACAUGCAAGUCGAACGGAAAGGCCCUGCUUUUGUGGGGUGCUCGAGUGGCGAACGGGUGAGUAACACGUGAGUAACCUGCCCUUGACUUUGGGAUAACUUCAGGAAACUGGGGCUAAUACCGGAUAGGAGCUCCUGCUGCAUGGUGGGGGUUGGAAAGUUUCGGCGGUUGGGGAUGGACUCGCGGCUUAUCAGCUUGUUGGUGGGGUAGUGGCUUACCAAGGCUUUGACGGGUAGCCGGCCUGAGAGGGUGACCGGCCACAUUGGGACUGAGAUACGGCCCAGACUCCUACGGGAGGCAGCAGUGGGGAAUAUUGCACAAUGGGCGGAAGCCUGAUGCAGCAACGCCGCGUGCGGGAGGACGGCCUUCGGGUUGUAAACCGCUUUCGCCUGUGACGAAGCGUGAGUGACGGUAAUGGUAAAGAAGCACCGGCUAACUACGUG
rnacentral:rRNA from 1 species